rnacentral:rRNA from 1 species
ACAACGAAGAUUUUGAUCCUGGCUCAGGUUGAACGCUAGCGACAGGCCUAACACAUGCAAGUCGAGGGGCAGCGAGAGGAAAGCUUGCUUUUCUUGUCGGCGACCGGCGCACGGGUGAGUAACGCGUAUGCAACCUGGCUACUGCUACGGGAUAGCCUUGCGAAAGUAAGAUUAAUACCGUAUGUGCUGAGUUUAGACAUCUUUAUUCAGUGAAAGAUUUAUCGGCAGUAGAUGGGCAUGCGUCUGAUUAGUUAGUUGGCGGGGUAACGGCCCACCAAGGCGACGAUCAGUAGGGG